ACAUCCAGAGAACUUGGCAGAGAUGCCUUGGUGCCUUCGGGAACUCUGAGACAGGUGCUGCAUGGCUGUCGUCAGCUCGUGUUGUGAAAUGUUGGGUUAAGUCCCGNAACGAGCGCAACCCCUAUCCUUUGUUGCCAGCGAUUCGGUCGGGAACUCAAAGGAGACUGCCGGUGAUAAACCGGAGGAAGGUGGGGAUGACGUCAAGUCAUCAUGGCCCUUACGAGUAGGGCUACACACGUGCUACAAUGGCGCAUACAAAGAGAAGCGACCUCGCGAGAGCAAGCGGACCUCAUAAAGUGCGUCGUAGUCCGGAUCGGAGUCUGCAACUCGACUCCGUGAAGUCGGAAUCGCUAGUAAUCGUAGAUCAGAAUGCUACGGUGAAUACGUUCCCGGGCCUUGUACACACCGCCCGUCACACCAUGGGAGUGGGUUGCAAAAGAAGUAGAUAGCUUAACCUUCGGGAGGGCGUUUACCACUUUGUGAUUCAUGACUGGGGUGAAGUCGUAACAAGGUAAGCGUAGCGAG
rnacentral:rRNA from 1 species